UUUUCCUCUAUUUUUUCUUCCCAAAUUCGCCGAGCCUUCUUCUUCCUCGCAAUUCACCGCCGAACCUUCCUUCCUCUCGCUCGAUCCUCCGCCCUCUACUCCGAUCGCCGAAGCCCGAUGCAUCGUCGACCGAGCUUCCCUCCUACCUCUCUUCUCCUCUUCACCGUCGGCGCAACUCUUCUUUUUUCUCUGUCUCGUGCGUGGACAACCCGACACCGACGGAGUGUUCUCCACCGCGAUCUCGCCUUCACGCGUCGUCGGAGAGGAAGUGGCGUGGGAUCUUGACGGUACCCGUCAUCUCCGGCAGAGCGAUUGCAUCCUCAACGGUUUCUUGCUCGGGAUCGGCUGUUCCUCAGAGGCUAGGGCACGGCUAGGCUAGGGCUUGGUGAGGGAGGGGAGAUUCGAGCCCUAGUUUCCUAUUGUGGGUGUCCAGUGCCUUCUAGUCGUCCGAGCUUGGAUCAGGGAGGUCCAACUCCACUGGAUUCCGAUUCCUCUUCUCUGCCGGCAUAGAUCACCUGCUGAUUCCUAGAGUGUGACGGGCUGCCGACACAGAAUUGAAGUAAGUCUUUGUAGCUUUGGCCAUCCUUGUUCGCUGGAUAACCAUGGUUCCGGCCAUUCCUGUUCCGACAGUGACCUCUUCGGCCGUGAGUCGAUGGAGGAGCAAUCCAAAUAGGGAUAUUUGUUUGGGAGUGCAGCAACCCCACCUUACCCUAGCUACCAAUUUCCAGCAGAGAAUUAACUAAGGAGAAGUCCAGGUUGGGACUUUAUUUCGAGGCGAGCGUCUCAACGUGGGAUUGAUUUAUCUAGCACGAUCGACAGAUUUAA